rnacentral:rRNA from 1 species
GACGAACGCUGGCGGCGUGCCUAAUACAUGCAAGUUGAGCGCUGAAGGUUGGUACUUGUACCGACUGGAUGAGCAGCGAACGGGUGAGUAACGCGUGGGGAAUCUGCCUUUGAGCGGGGGACAACAUUUGGAAACGAAUGCUAAUACCGCAUAAAAACUUUAAACACAAGUUUUAAGUUUGAAAGAUGCAAUUGCAUCACUCAAAGAUGAUCCCGCGUUGUAUUAGCUAGUUGGUGAGGUAAAGGCUCACCAAGGCGAUGAUACAUAGCCGACCUGAGAGGGUGAUCGGCCACAUUGGGACUGAGACACGGCCCAAACUCCUACGGGAGGCAGCAGUAGGGAAUCUUCGGCAAUGGACGAAAGUCUGACCGAGCAACGCCGCGUGAGUGGAGAAGGUUUUCGGAUCGUAAAACUCUGUUGGUAGAGAAGAACGUUGGUGAGAGUGGAAAGCUCAUCAAGUGACGGUAACUACCCAGAAAGGGACGGCUAACUACGUG